rnacentral:rRNA from 2 species
AUUGAACGCUGGCGGCAGGCCUAACACAUGCAAGUCGAGCGGUAACACAGGGAGCUUGCUCCUGGGUGACGAGCGGCGGACGGGUGAGUAAUGUCUGGGAAACUGCCUGAUGGAGGGGGAUAACUACUGGAAACGGUAGCUAAUACCGCAUAACGUCGCAAGACCAAAGAGGGGGACCUUCGGGCCUCUUGCCAUCAGAUGUGCCCAGAUGGGAUUAGCUAGUAGGUGGGGUAAUGGCUCACCUAGGCGACGAUCCCUAGCUGGUCUGAGAGGAUGACCAGCCACACUGGAACUGAGACACGGUCCAGACUCCUACGGGAGGCAGCAGUGGGGAAUAUUGCACAAUGGGCGCAAGCCUGAUGCAGCCAUGCCGCGUGUAUGAAGAAGGCCUUCGGGUUGUAAAGUACUUUCAGCGAGGAGGAAGGCGAUAAGGUUAAUAACCUUGUCGAUUGACGUUACUCGCAGAAGAAGCACCGGCUAACUCCGUGCCAGCAGCCGCGGUAAUACGGAGGGUGCAAGCGUUAAUCGGAAUUACUGGGCGUAAAGCGCACGCAGGCGGUCUGUCAAGUCGGAUGUGAAAUCCCCGGGCUCAACCUGGGAACUGCAUUCGAAACUGGCAGGCUAGAGUCUUGUAGAGGGGGGUAGAAUUCCAGGUGUAGCGGUGAAAUGCGUAGAGAUCUGGAGGAAUACCGGUGGCGAAGGCGGCCCCCUGGACAAAGACUGACG